UUCAAGAACAAAAGGGUGUUAUCAGUAGCUGAGAGGUUCUGCGAGCCGGAAGGACUUGUGGGCGCAGCGUGGGUGGGAGGCUGGGUUCCCCCACCGCUGAUGCAAUGCAGGAAGAGGCAAGUGGAAACCCACACCUGAAGAGCAGCCUGGGCCCGCUGACAGACAGGGGCAAGGAAAGUCCUGGAGGCUGAUCGCUGGACAAUACAGUCAGAAGCGUGAGACAUCUCUAGAGUUCAGAAGUCGACAUAAUGUACACCUACAAUCUCCAACACUGGGAGAUGGAGGCAGAAGGAGCCG
rnacentral:lncRNA from 1 species